GGAAAAUAAGAAGCAUGGCUUAUCGGCAAAAAUGAGUUGUGAACAGUUUUGUUUAGUAUUACAAGAGAUAUUUGGAUGUCUGGAUGCUACCUUUAUUUUUUAUUGGCUAUUGUAUUCCUUAGUGUGUGAAUUCAUAAUCAACUUUGCAACAAUUAUCCCUCAAACAUCCUACUCAUGCAAAGUUGGGGUUACCUGACAAGGAUGCUCCAUCAGCACUGGAAAAAUCUGAAGAAAUUGAUAAUCCUGAAAAACAUUUGGAUUCCCCUGCAAAGCAACGCAAAAUAUCUGUCAAGUACCUAACCCUAGAGAAACUGGUAGCUCUUUCAGUCAAACACUUGUCAAAAGGACAGAAAGAAAGAGCAUUUUCUUUUUUGCAACUGGUGCUUGAUAAGGAUCCUGAUUACAUAAAUGCUUUGAUAGUUAUGGGGCAGACUCAACUGCAGAAAGGACUGCUAGCGGAGGCUAUUGAAUAGUUGGAGCAUGCUAUCUCCAAGGUUCGUCUAGUUUAAUUUAGUUAUCUUAUGUUUUUUCACAAUCAGAUGUUUAGUAUAUAAAGUAGGAUUUAUAUAGGCGGGAAGCAUGCUUUAUACAUGAUUUUUGGUA